GAUGAACGCUGGCGGCGUGCCUGAUACAUGCAAGUCGAGCGAACUGAUUAGAAGCUUGCUUCUAUGACGUUAGCGGCGGACGGGUGAGUAACACGUGGGCAUCCUGCCUGUAAGACUGGGAUAACUUCGGGAAACCGAAGCUAAUACCGGAUAGGAUCAUCUCCUUCAUGGGAGAUGAUUGAAAGAUGGUUUCGGCUAUCACUUACAGAUGGGCCCGCGGUGCAUUAGCUAGUUGGUGAGGUAACGGCUCACCAAGGCAACGAUGCAUAGCCGACCUGAGAGGGUGAUCGGCCACACUGGGACUGAGACACGGCCCAGACUCCUACGGGAGGCAGCAGUAGGGAAUCUUCCGCAAUGGACGAAAGUCUGACGGAGCAACGCCGCGUGAGUGAUGAAGGCUUUCGGGUCGUAAAACUCUGUUGUUAGGGAAGAACAAGUACAAGAGUAACUGCUUGUACCUUGACGGUACCUAACCAGAAAGCCACGGCUAACUACGUGCCAGCCGCCGCCGUAACAC
rnacentral:rRNA from 1 species